rnacentral:rRNA from 1 species
UUCGAGCUUCGAACAUCGAGAUAGUGGCGGACGGGUGAGUAACGCGUGGGUAACCUACCCAACAGACCGGGACAACACUUGGAAACGAGUGCUAAUACCGGAUACCCUAUGACUCCGGCAUCGGAGAGAUAGGAAAGGUGGCCUCUAUUAAUAAGCUACCGUUGUAGGAUGGACCCGCGUCUGAUUAGCUAGUUGGUGGGGUAACGGCCUACCAAGGCGACGAUCAGUAGCCGGCCUGAGAGGGUGAACGGCCACACUGGGACUGAGACACGGCCCAGACUCCUACGGGAGGCAGCAGUGGGGAAUCUUCCGCAAUGGACGAAAGUCUGACGGAGCAACGCCGCGUGUAUGAUGAAGGCCUUCGGGUUGUAAAGUACUGUCUUUGGGGAAGAAUGGUAGCUAUGAAAAUAUUGUCGCUACCUGACGGUACCAGAAGGAG